UUUUUAUCAAACUGUUCUCGUAGCUCAGCGGUAGAUUGUCCUUUAGGAGUCCAAUAGGUCAGAUGUUCGAUUCCAUGUGAAUGCGGAUUUAGCAUCAUUAUUUUCUAACGAAACGACGUCGUUUUGGAAGCUCCAAAACGUCCAAAACGACGUCGUUUCGAUUUAACAGAAAUUUCUAACAGAAGGUUAACCCCGUUAACGGAAAUUUAACGACGUGCCCAAAAUGACCAAGUCAACGAAACUUGACAAUUUUUUUAAAAAGUCAAACGAAACUUUGUGAUUUAAAUGACAAUUCGAAAGUUCAUGUUUUUUUCGUCCCAAAUUUGAAAGUUCGCGCAUUUUUUGACAUUUUUCCCUUUUUUUAUCAU
rnacentral:sRNA from 1 species